UCAGAAACUAAUUAAAUUUAAAAGAAAAAUACUCAGAUAUUUGACUUUCUCUGUGAAAGGCAGUCCUAUUCUAAACAAUUACUGCAUCUCUUUCUUCCUCCUUACUGAGGUCUAGGGCCCUAGUUAAGUUCUAUAAUAAGUAAAGCUACUUCAAAAUCAAAUGAUAAAAAUCAGUCCUUCUCGACUUUCAGAAGCUGCUCAGUUUUUUAUCUCUUUAUGAAAUUAUAACAGCAAUAAAAUGUAAUCAUUUCAAAA
rnacentral:lncRNA from 1 species